UAACCGGCGAUACCCGAAUGGGGAAACCCAGUGUGACUCGUCACACUAUCAUUAACUGAAUCCAUAGGUUAAUGAGGCGAACCGGGGGAACUGAAACAUCUAAGUACCCCGAGGAAAAGAAAUCAACCGAGAUUCCCCCAGUAGCGGCGAGCGAACGGGGAGGAGCCCAGAGCCUGAAUCAGCAUGUGUGUUAGUGGAAGCGUCUGGAAAGGCGCGCGAUACAGGGUGACAGCCCCGUACACAAAAGCGCAUGUGCUGUGAGCUCGAUGAGUAGGGCGGGACACGUGGUAUCCUGUCUGAAUAUGGGGGGACCAUCCUCCAAGGCUAAAUACUCCUGACUGACCGAUAGUGAACCAGUACCGUGAGGGAAAGGCGAAAAGAACCCCGGCGAGGGGAGUGAAAAAGAACCUGAAACCGUGUACGUACAAGCAGUGGGAGCCCCACCACCAAAGCAUUUGCUGUACCGCGUUGACGGAGCGAAGCGACGUCAAACCGAUAAAACAGCAGUGUAAAGUGAGCCGCAGGGCGCUUUGCGCGACAGCGCAAAGGCAGGCGGUUUCGCGUAGCGAAAGCGAAUGCUUUGGGGUGGGGUGACUGCGUACCUUUUGUAUAAUGGGUCAGCGACUUAUAUUCUGUAGCAAGGUUAACCGAAUAGGGGAGCCGGAGGGAAACCGAGUCUUAAUUGGGCGUUAAGUUGCAGGGUAUAGACCCGAAACCCGGUGAUCUAGCCAUGGGCAGGUUGAAGGUUGGGUAACACUAACUGGAGGACCGAACCGACUAAUGUUGAAAAAUUAGCGGAUGACCUGUGGCUGGGGGUGAAAGGCCAAUCAAACCGGGAGAUAGCUGGUUCUCCCCGAAAGCUAUUUAGGUAGCGCCUCGUGAAUUCAUCUCCGGGGGUAGAGCACUGUUUCGGCUAGGGGGCCAUCCCGGCUUACCAACCCGAUGCAAACUGCGAAUACCGGAGAAUGUUAUCACGGGAGACACACGGCGGGUGCUAACGUCCGUCGUGAAGAGGGAAACAACCCAGACCGCCAGCUAAGGUCCCAAAGUCAUGGUUAAGUGGGAAACGAUGUGGGAAGGCCCAGACAGCCAGGAUGUUGGCUUAGAAGCAGCCAUCAUUUAAAGAAAGCGUAAUAGCUCACUGGUCGAGUCGGCCUGCGCGGAAGAUGUAACGGGGCUAAACCAUGCACCGAAGCUGCGGCAGCGACACUGUGUGUUGUUGGGUAGGGGAGCGUUCUGUAAGCCUGUGAAGGUGUGUCGUGAGGCAUGCUGGAGGUAUCAGAAGUGCGAAUGCUGACAUAAGUAACGAUAAAGCGGGUGAAAAGCCCGCUCGCCGGAAGACCAAGGGUUCCUGUCCAACGUUAAUCGGGGCAGGGUGAGUCGACCCCUAAGGCGAGGCCGAAAGGCGUAGUCGAUGGGAAACGGGUUAAUAUUCCCGUACUUGGUGUUACUGCGAAGGGGGGACGGAGAAGGCUAUGUUGGCCGGG
rnacentral:rRNA from 1 species